UACGUAGGGGGCAAGCGUUGUCCGGAAUCAUUGGGCGUAAAGAGCGUGUAGGCGGCCCGAUAAGUCCGCUGUGAAAGUCCAGGGCUCAACCCUGGAAUGCCGGUGGAUACUGUCGGGCUCGAAUCCGGAAGAGGUGAGUAGAAUUCCUGGUGUAGCGGUGAAAUGCGCAGAUAUCAGGAGGAACACCAAUGGCGAAGGCAGCUCACUGGGACGGUAUUGACGCUGAGACGCGAAAGCGUGGGGAGCAAACAGG
rnacentral:rRNA from 1 species